rnacentral:rRNA from 1 species
GAUGAACGCUGGCGGCGUGCCUAAUACAUGCAAGUCGAGCGAACGGACGAGAAGCUUGCUUCUCUGAUGUUAGCGGCGGACGGGUGAGUAACACGUGGAUAACCUACCUAUAAGACUGGGAUAACUUCGGGAAACCGGAGCUAAUACCGGAUAAUAUUUUGAACCGCAUGGUUCAAAAGUGAAAGACGGUCUUGCUGUCACUUAUAGAUGGAUCCGCGCUGCAUUAGCUAGUUGGUAAGGUAACGGCUUACCAAGGCAACGAUGCAUAGCCGACCUGAGAGGGUGAUCGGCCACACUGGAACUGAGACACGGUCCAGACUCCUACGGGAGGCAGCAGUAGGGAAUCUUCCGCAAUGGGCGAAAGCCCGACGGAGCAACGCCGCGUGAGUGAUGAAGGUCUUCGGAUCGUAAAACUCUGUUAUUAGGGAAGAACAAAUGUGUAAGUAACUAUGCACGUCUUGACGGUACCUAAUCAGAAAGCCACGGCUAACUACGUGCCAGCAGCCGCGGUAAUACGUAGGUGGCAAGCGUUAUCCGGAAUUAUUGGGCGUAAAGCGCGCGUAGGCGGUUUUUUAAGUCUGAUGUGAAAGCCCACGGCUCAACCGUGGAGGGUCAUUGGAAACUGGAAAACUUGAGUGCAGAAGAGGAAAGUGGAAUUCCAUGUGUAGCGGUGAAAUGCGCAGAGAUAUGGAGGAACACCAGUGGCGAAGGCGACUUUCUGGUCUGUAACUGACGCUGAUGUGCGAAAGCGUGGGGAUCAAACAGGAUUAGAUACCCUGGUAGUCCACGCCGUAAACGAUGAGUGCUAAGUGUUAGGGGGUUUCCGCCCCUUAGUGCUGCAGCUAACGCAUUAAGCACUCCGCCUGGGGAGUACGACCGCAAGGUUGAAACUCAAAGGAAUUGACGGGGACCCGCACAAGCGGUGGAGCAUGUGGUUUAAUUCGAAGCAACGCGAAGAACCUUACCAAAUCUUGACAUCCUCUGACCCCUCUAGAGAUAGAGUUUUCCCCUUCGGGGGACAGAGUGACAGGUGGUGCAUGGUUGUCGUCAGCUCGUGUCGUGAGAUGUUGGGUUAAGUCCCGCAACGAGCGCAACCCUUAAGCUUAGUUGCCAUCAUUAAGUUGGGCACUCUAAGUUGACUGCCGGUGACAAACCGGAGGAAGGUGGGGAUGACGUCAAAUCAUCAUGCCCCUUAUGAUUUGGGCUACACACGUGCUACAAUGGACAAUACAAAGGGCAGCGAAACCGCGAGGUCAAGCAAAUCCCAUAAAGUUGUUCUCAGUUCGGAUUGUAGUCUGCAACUCGACUAUAUGAAGCUGGAAUCGCUAGUAAUCGUAGAUCAGCAUGCUACGGUGAAUACGUUCCCGGGUCU